rnacentral:rRNA from 1 species
UUACUCGGGGAUAGCCUUCCGAAAGGGAGAUUAAUACUCGAUGGUGUUGGAAUUCCGCAUGUUAUUUCAACUAAAGAUUCAU